rnacentral:rRNA from 1 species
GAUGAACGCUGGCGGCGUGCCUAAUACAUGCAAGUCGAGCGAACAGACGAGGAGCUUGCUCCUCUGACGUUAGCGGCGGACGGGUGAGUAACACGUGGAUAACCUACCUAUAAGACUGGGAUAACUUCGGGAAACCGGAGCUAAUCCCGGAGAAUAUAUUGAACCGCGUGGUUCAUUAGUGAAAGUCGGUUUUGCUGUCACUUAUAGCGGGUUCCGCGCUGCAUUAGCUAGUUGGUAAGGUAACGGCUUACCAAGGCAACGAUGCGUAGCCGACCUAAUAGCGGGAUGGGCCACACAGGAGGUGAGCCGCGGUACAGACACCUACGGGAGGCAGCAGUAGCGAAUGGUGCGCACUGGGCGAAAGACUGCAGGAGGGGCGGAGCGCUAGUGAUGAAGCUCCGCGGACCGUAAAACGCUGUUAGUAGGGAAGAACAAAUGUGUCAGUAACUAUGCAUGACUGGACGGUACGUAAUCAGAAAGACACGGCUAAUUCGGU